rnacentral:tRNA from 1 species
GGUCUUAUAGUCAAAUUAUGAUAUUAGAAUGCAAUUCUGAAGUUAUGGAAUAUUAAGAUUU